UGACCGACAUCUUGCCCGUCUCGGUGAUUCGUCCGUCUGGCGUGCGUAUGUUUGAUAGUUACAAAGUUUUACGUGGUGGGAGUUGUGUAAGAUAUUUUUGUAUCUGGAAGUUUAACGCAAAGGAUAUACCAGGUUGUUUACUUUAGUAUAAUUUGCCGACAAGCAUAGAUGGUGCAGCUGGAGAAGUGGACUGUGGUGAAUAAGGAGGAGCAGCAGGAGGAUUAACUAGAAGAAGGAAAAAAGCGUUUAAUCGCUGAUAAUGAGAGAAUGUAUUAUUGUUUGUUGCAUGUAAGCGCGGAAGAAAAGUAUGAAAUAAAGGAAUGAUAGGGAGAAGUAGCGCGUGAAUGUAUAAAUAAGAUGUAUAAAUAAAAGUGUUUUGCGUAAAACAGGUAGUGAUAAAAGUAUAAAAAUAUAAGGUGAGAAGGUGUGCAAUAAAGAUGUUUAUAGAUAUAAAUAAAAUAAAGGCGUACCUAAUCUGGAUGUAUGGUGAAGGAAACAUAAUAGCGAUGUUGAUUCAUGGUGGGAGUUUGUGGAAACAUGGAUUAAUUUUGUGAAAAUUGUACAAUAUGUAAAAAGAUUGUAGAUUAGACGGGUAGAAGUUGACAUAAAUAAGAAAGGAGUGAAAAGAGAGUAUACAAUGAUAAUAGGUAAUAUGUAAGGCAAUAUAAUUUUGUGGAUGACAGAAUGGAUUUGUUUGGAUUUUAGGAAAUUAAAGAAUAAAUGAAGAUACAUUUAGAA